CAUGCUGUAACUCGCUUUGUCCUUCUUACAGAUUACCUCCUUUUCGCAGGCCGCGUCUAUCUGCAUAUCUGCUUUGACACAUUUAAAUCUUCCACAAUACUUCAUUAAAAUAAUGGAAUAAUGAGUUGAUGAUGUGCUACAAACACAAUGAACAUCAGCCAUAGUGUCACAUUAGUAAGUCACCAGGAGUGACUCAGAUUCUACGGUGGGGUAAAGUCUUCUCUGACUGUAGACAGUUACACGCUGUCAUUGGUCGAGAUGUGAUAUUUGGUUCAGUUUGGUGGAAUUGCAUUUUACUGAUUUUCACUUUAAAGAUUUGCUUUACGUGUUUCUGUCGUUUCUGCAAACCCUAAGAUUUUCAUUUAACAAUCUUGUCAUGUUUGCUUGAAAAUGCUUCAUCAGCUUAUUAUUAUUAUUAUUAUUAUUAUUAUUAUUAUUAUUAUUAUUAUUAUUAUUAUUGAAAACAAACAGGUGAGACCUUGCACACUACUUUAUUUAUUUGUUUGCUUGUUACAUUUACCACUUUACCAUUCGACUGUCUGCUAAGCCGUGUUUCUUUAGGCACCACCAUGCUGUACAUAAUGAAUAUUAAUUACUUCAUUUCUAAUUAGUUUUUCAUUAAACAGACAUUGUUCUUAAAGAGGGCUUCUUCCUCAUCGUAGUCUUUAUAUCUUUGCUUAAACUGUUUGGUCUUGGCCCUGCUUUGUUUUAGUUUCUGGACACAAUUAAAUAAGAAAACAGUCAGCAUCAAAGUUCAUUAUUAUCAGGCUGCUGCUGUUGUUGUUGUUGUUCUUGUUUUUGUUGUUGUUUUAAAAGUGUAUUUCAGUAGGCUACAACUGAGGAUGGUGGUCCCAAACCCAGAUGCCCCUGAAAAUCACCAGCAGGCCAUACUGAUGGCAACCAAAGAGGCUCGUCACUACAGGGAAAGCAGGAUGGUCUUCCCUACGCCUCCACUGGAGUUGGUGAACCAGUCAACUGUCCUGGUCCACUCAGAGAAGCUCCUUGUGAAUGAGGGGAUCCCCACACCGACACGUGAACAGUAUCUGGGACAGCUGGUCCUUUUGGUGCCAUUUGGACAAUAUGAAAAUGCACCGUUCCACUGGCUUGUUUCAAAUGAUGUAGGAUACAUGAAAUAGUAAGCAUUACGGCACAGCAUAGCCCUCAGGCAAAGGAAAGUUUUCUAAAGCCCUAAAUCCACUGGAUGUGACAUUAAAUUUUUCAAUCAACUAGAAUAGUCAAAAAGUAUCAAAGAACAAUCCAAUAUGUGGGAGUCACUAUCCAGCAUCAUGUGAAGGCGGGACUUCCUUUUCUGCCACAUGGUCACAGGAGCACAUGGUCUGAGGAAAGCACCACCAAGUGUGAUCCCUCAUCAUGGCCAGGUGAUGAUGCUGAACUGGAAGCUGCAAGUCAAGCUGUGGAAAGCAAGUGAGAUAAAGCGAGAAUUUGCUCAAGACCCAAGAGCCACAGGUAUGGGCCAACCCUAGCAGUCCAUCUGUUAGAUUGCCUUCUCAGGAUUCCACCAGACAAGCCCAGUCAGCCUGAUCCCACUGUCCAGCCCAAGGAGUCAGAGCCCAUUGUCUGGCCCAAGGAGUCAUAGCCCACUGUCCGGCCUGAGGAGUCGGAGCCCACUGUUCAUUCAAACCUACAAGGACAUCAGUGAUCUGUGCAAGAAGCGAAGUGUCCUAGAGGUGACAGUUGUGUGGGUAAGGGACGGAACGUGCACCUCUACAAGUCUGGCUACCACCACCGGGUUUGACUCACUUUACUUAGUAUGUAACAUCUGUGACAUGUCCAACUGGUACACAAUGCUGACUGAAGUCCUGAGCUGUGUACCAUGUACCAAGGCAGCAAAGAGUGGAGAAGGUAGCACAGUGGGUCAGUG